GAUGAACGCUGGCGGCGUGCUUAACACAUGCAAGUCGAACGGUGAACACGUAGCUUGCUCUGUGGGAUCAGUGGCGAACGGGUGAGUAACACGUGAGCAACCUGCCCCUGACUCUGGGAUAAGCUCUGGAAACGGCGUCUAAUACUGGAUAUGUGACGUGACCGCAUGGUCUGCGUUUGGAAAGCUUUUUCGGUUGGGGUUGGGCUCGCGGCCUAUCAGCUUGUUGGUGGGGUAAUGGCUCACCAAGGCGUCGACGGGUAGCCGGCCUGAGAGGGUGACCGGCCACACUGGGACUGAGACACGGCCCAGACUCCUACGGGAGGCAGCAGUGGCGAAUAUUGCACAAUGGGCGCAAGCCUGAUGCAGCAACGCCGCGUGAGGGAUGACGGCCUUCGGGUUGUAAACCGCUUUUAGCAGGGAAGAAGCGAAAGUGACGGUACCUGAAGAAAAAGCGCCGGCUAACUACGUG
rnacentral:rRNA from 1 species